GCAGCGGAGCGUGUGGUUAAUUCGAUGUUACACGAAGAACCUUACCUGGGUUUGACAUAUAGGUUGUAGGGAACUGAAAAGGGACCGACCCUUCGGGAGCCUAUACAGGUGUUGCAUGGCUGUCGUCAGCUCGUGUCGUGAGAUGUUCGGUUAAGUCCGCUAACGAGCGCAACCCUCGUCGUAUGUUAUAUGUGUCAUACGAGACUGCCGGUAAAAGCCGGAGGAAGGUGAGGAUGAUGUCAAGUCAGCAUGGCCUUUAUAUCCUGGGCUACACACACGCUACAAUGGCCAACACAAUAGGUUGCUAAGCCGCGAGGUGGCGCCAAUCCAUAAAGUUGGUCUCAGUUCAGAUUGUAGGCUGCAACCCGCCUGCAUGAAGAUGGAGUUGCUAGUAACCGCAGGUCAGCUAUACUGCGUUGAAUACGUUCCCGGGGAUU
rnacentral:rRNA from 1 species